UUUGACUUCAUACUGUCCGCUGCCAACAUUGUAAGGCACAGUAAACACACCGGUCUUUCCUCGUCUACCAUCGUGGUCGCACUGAAGCCGAGCUAUGUACGCUUUGUCAUAUUUCCUUGUCUUAGCUUUCGUGUGACUCUCAAUUCUCUUAUCUCCAUCUCUCUCCGCCGUUCUUUUCAACCAUGUUCAAUAUUUUUCCAUGGUGUCCCACUGCACUUUUUAUCGCCUGCUCUGUGCUGUGCUGUGUGUGUGUG